AGAUAGAACCUGAUUUAGAGCCAAUGCUCUGAUACCAAAAUUGAUACGAAUCUCAAGAAUGAUGCAUCUAAACCCACGGACAGGUUUGGUUUAUAAUCCUAAAAAAGCCAAAAUCAAGUUCAAACAUCAAGGAAUGCCUUGACCUAUCAAUUAUGUAGAACUGAAAACCAAUAUAAUUCAAACAUAAAAUUAAGGAUUCUUGACCCAAAGU
rnacentral:misc_RNA from 1 species